rnacentral:rRNA from 1 species
CAAUAGCGUAUAUUAAAGUUGUUGCAGUUAAAAAGCUCGUAGUUGGAUUUCUGGUGGGAGCGAUCGGUCUGGCGCUUAGCGCGAGUACUUGCAUCGUCUCCGGCCAUCCUUGGGGAGAGUCUGUCUGGCAUUAGGUUGUCGGGCAGAGGAUCCUCAUCGUUUACUGUGAAAAAAUUAGAGUGUUCAAAGCAGGCUUAUGCCGUUGAAUAUAUUAGCAUGGAAUAAUAAGAUAGGACUUUGGUACUAUUUUGUUGGUUUGCGCACCAAAGUAAUGAUUAAUAGGGACAGUUGGGGGUAUUCGUAUUCCGUUGUCAGAGGUGAAAUUCUUGGAUUUACGGAAGACGAACUACUGCGAAAGCAUCUACCAAGGAUGUUUUCAUUAA